AAGAGUUUCCAGUUUCUUUCAAAAACUGGUGGUGCGGAACAUCUGCAACGGUUUCCUAUUUUUCCGUUCGUCUCAAAGAAUAGGUGGCGAGCCUGAGU
rnacentral:ncRNA from 1 species